AAGUCUAGAUUGAUCGCGAUGAACGGGCGACAAUUUCUAGCCCCAAAUUUCGCUGGGUAUCGUCCAAUUCUUACGAGAGAGUCAUUUUAAAAACUACGUCACUUCGAUCGGCCGUUACAUCUGAUCUUACAUCACCGUGGCGCAGUGUUUGGCAAUUAAACGAAGCUCCGACCUCGGCCGGAAUUAGAUCCAUUUAAACGCGCCGUUCCAAAACACACGCAUACACUUAAAAUACUUUGAGGAUCCCUGUUCGUUCUCAAACGCAUUUGAAUUUUCCUCAGGAGCCGUUCUCAAACUAGCGACGAAAACAAGAGGUUGUCGAGGUGUUUCCGAUAACGGAGAAGAUAAUAGGAUCGUGUGAAUCACAUCGCUCAAGAAAAUAUUAUAUACAGGUGUUCCAUAACCGAGUGGAAGACAACGUAAAAAAAUGACUCGGACAGGAGGAACAAAAUUUUUUCACGAAAACCUCUGUUUUCGAAGAACAUCAAGAUUUUUUCCGUUUUCGAGAAGAUCGUGUUUGAAAAUUUGUCAAGUGCACGGUUCGCGUGUGGAAACCGUAUAAAAUGUAAAUAAGGAAAAGAGUUAUCGAGGAGCUCCAUAUUAAAACUGCUCCAAGUAGAAAGUGGGUGCACGGGGACAGCCGGAUCAGACGUCAUUGCGUCCGUUCCUCGCAGGGGCCUUGAAAGGAAUGUGCAACUAAAAGGAAAUCGCCGAAACGCUUUUACACACUUUACAUAUAUUAUAUAUGCGGUAAGCAGCAUGAUCGAACGAUGGU